rnacentral:rRNA from 1 species
UGGGGAAUAUUGGACAAUGGGCGCAAGCCUGAUCCAGCCAUGCCGCGUGAGUGAUGAAGGCCCUAGGGUUGUAAAGCUCUUUCACCGGUGAAGAUAAUGACGGUAACCGGAGAAGAAGCCCCGGCUAACUUCGCGCCAGCAGCCGCGGUAAUACGAAGGGGGCUAGCGUUGUUCGGAUUUACUGGGCGUAAAGCGCACGUAGGCGGACUUUUAAGUCAGGGGUGAAAUCCCGGGGCUCAACCCCGGAACUGCCUUUGAUACUGGAAGUCUUGAGUAUGGUAGAGGUGAGUGGAAUUCCGAGUGUAGAAGUGAAAUUCGUAGAUAUUCGGAGGAACACCAGUGGCGAAGGCGGCUCACUGGACCAUUACUGACGCUGAGGUGCGAAAGCGUGGGGAGCAAACAGG